rnacentral:lncRNA from 1 species
GUUUAUCUUCGUCUUCUGCCACUAUCUCGUCAACAACUGCUAGCCCGAUCUCGUCAACAACUGCUAGCCUCGGUUUAUAUUUACAUCCUGUCACUUUUUCGUCAGCAACGGUUAGCCCCGGUUUAUCUUCAUAUUCUGCCACUAUCUCGUCAACAACUACCAUUUCCG